rnacentral:tRNA from 1 species
GCACCCGUAGCUCAGCUGGAUCGAGCGUUGCCCUCCGAAGGCAAAGGUCACACGUUCGAAUCGUGUCGGGUGCGCCA